UUGGAGAGCUCUGUUAUAAGAGCAGAGCAGUUUGUAUUCAGCUGCCUGGGGAGUAAUGUCACUCAGAGGAGCUCCUGCUCCAGGAAUAUCUUGGAGACAAUGGAUAACCUGAAGAAGAACCCAAGGCAGCAGUGCAGACACAAACAUCAAACCCAUGUUGAAUGAUGUGGAGACAGAUCUGCAGAGUGACUUUGUAUUUAAGGAAGUGGUUAUCAUAAAUUGAAACCUUUGACCAGUUAUUGGCAGCAAAGUGUUUUUCAUUUUUGCUCUCGUAAAUCCUCCAACAUUGAGGUUACAUGUUAUCUUCCCCAGUCUCCGAUACUGGGAUCACAAAGUUGAACAAUCUGAAUCAACAGAAUGUUCCAUGGCACUUUGAGCAUCAGCACAGCUGAGAAAGAACUGGCUGCCGCUGAACAAUGGGAACAACAAAACAUCCUCUUUCUUCUGUUUAUACUUGCUGUUUUCCUCGUAACCCAAUGAGAGGCAGAAAACUGGACUAUA